UCAGUGAGUUUGGGCCAGGAGCUGAGUACAAGCGCACUGCCACAAGCCUUGAAGCCAGGAGGCCUGUACGGGGACAUGUGGCAUGUGCAAUCUUGACUUGCACACACCGCUCCAACAUGAUGCAGACUUGCUGAGACUGGUGGGAAUUUGGGGUUAAGUUCCCCUCAGUUCCUUGUUUGACUCCCCACUGACUGGGGCAAGUGGCGCCCAAUGUGGGGCUCGAGGUACGAAGAAAAACCUGAACGUUGUUCAAGUGAAUGGCCGUUCCUCUCCCUGAAUCUCAACCCCAUUGGCGAGUUAAAAUUGGCACAGUGAUCACUACAGGCAGCCUGCCUGUGAUACAGAUCUGAUUAAGGUUUCCAAUACCCAAGAUUCAAGAUGAAAACAACUGACCCCUGUCAACUUCUACUCCUCUGCUCCUUGUUGCUCAUCAUUCCCCUAACUACCACUCUUGUUCUUCAACAAUAAUUUCAAGUAAAGGAGGUCCCCAUAAAACAGGAUUGAACCACCCUUAUCAGUUCAGGGCACUGACCUCUUACAGGAUGCCAGUCAGCCCUCACCAUUAAAAUCACUCCCAAAACAAUUACUGCUACAUAUAGGCCUUAUGCCUGCUUUUCCUAUAAUAAUAAGGGUACUUGUUUAAAUGAUGAAUCCACUUAUGGAGGUUGUAGAUAUUGGAGCUGCAAUAGGCAUGAAGCCUUUAGCAAAUAUGGUAUCCUCCACUUCAAAGGAAAAUAAUUUACUCUUGUUAUUUCCGACCCUUGGGAUGAGCACUGGCAAAUAGGAGUCACAGGCAAAUUCUAUAAUGAUGGCUGGUCCUCCUACCCUAUGGGAAAUAUAUAUAUGUAUAUCUCCAGACAAUUAGUCCCUGUAGACUCCAAGGCUCAAGUAAACCAAAUAAUUUUAGAAAAUGAACAACACCUCCACUCAGCCCUCCAAGAUAACAAGGUAAAAUGGGACUCUUGGCCAAUAUAUCUCCAAUAUGCUGUCUAUGUACUUAAUGCCUCCCAGGUAAAUGCCUCCUCUUGUUUGCUUUGUGCUUCCCUUUCACUCCCAAUCCUUGCUGCCAGUCCCUUAAAUGCUUCCUCUAUCCUCAACCUUUCCUUUAACCAAUCUCACUAUACUAUAAGACCACUCCUCCUGUCUCCCCAGUACCACUACUCUCUCACCAUCUAAAUAACAUUUUUAUGCUGCACUGCUUCCUUACUAACAAAUCACUACCUAAUGACCUAACAUGCACACAAAACACCUCUGUAAUUACAGAAUUUAUAUACCCCCCCACUGAUUUACUUCUGGUGCAAUAAAACCCUGUUUACUCACAUUAAUAACACCACCCUGGGACCCUGUAUUCUGGUAGCUGUGGUCCCCCAGCUCACCAUAUAUAGCCCCAAUGAAUUUGCUCGGCUCUUCCACACCACUCAUAAGAGAGCAGCCUUCCUUAUGAGAGCAGCCUUCCUUCCAUUAGUGGUAGGUGCAAGCCUGGCCACAUCAGUCGUUUCUACAGGUGUGGCAGGCAGAGCAUUGGGGCACUCCUUGUAUUUUGCCAGUGAAUUUUCUGAAAAACUACAACAGAUGAUUGACUCCACCACUAAUAGUCUUGAAUCCCUCCAGAGACAGAUCACCUCCCUAGACAAGGUUGCCCUAUAAAACCGACAUGCUCUCAACCUCCUUACAGCAGUAAAAGGAAGGACAUGUAUGGCUCUCCCAGAAGAGUGCUGCUUCUACAUCAAUGAAUGCAGAAUCAUUGAGGAAAACAUAAAAAAAUUACAAAAACUUAGUCGAGAGUUGCAUUCUUGAUAUGGUCCCUACUCCUCUCAACUUUGGGCCAAUUACCCCUUCCUCCCCUGGUUGCCAUUGGUACUAGGACCUUUACUUAUCUUAAUCCUCUUAUUUACAAUUGGACCUGUCAUUAUAAAUAAAAUCAUGUCUUUUAUAUGUCAACAGAUUGAAGCCAUUAAGAUACAGCCCUUGCAGGUCCACUAUCACAGACUGGAGCUGGCGGAUCAAGGCGUUGCCACUGAAGGCCUACCACCUACAGCUGCCACUCUCCCUUGAUCAUACAUUCUGUACUCAUUUACUAUACUGCUGUCCUCUACACCUCUGCUAUUGCUGCGGCGUACCUGUCUUAUGGCCAAAUAGCUACCCCUCCUUUAGGAGCUACAUAGAAUCCAGACCUAUGCAUAUAGGCUCACAAUAAUGUGAGUACAAUAUGGGCACCAACAUGGGGGCGAGGCAAAGCACCACAGGGGAAGGUCCCUAUCUGACCGCUUCUGGAUUCCCUGAGAGAAAAACCUGGCUUGCAUGGAGGUUGGUACAAUAACUGUUAUCACAUAGGCCCUGCCUCCCCUCCCCAAAAGGUACCAAGGGCCAAGAUUGUGGGGAAAAGACAUCCCACGGGAAGAGUCAGGUCUCUAUUCCCUCAGUUGGUUAAUGCCCACCGCUGCAUAACGGGCCUCCCCCUCUUUUCGUAUAAAAGAAGGGAGGAGAUGUUGGGAACUAUGAGCCUAACCUCAGCCAUGUUGACAAAAACCGCCAUAUAGCAAGUUAAGUUUCUAUCUCCUCAUCUAAAUGCUCAGUUACCAGAAAUGAAGAAAUCAGACCCUUGGGUGAUAACCACCCCCCCCCAUUCUGCCAGUAACUGAUAAAAAAACAACAACAACAACAACAAAAAAAAACAGAUGCAUUGCAGUUUAUCCAGUAACUCUGUGAUCUUUGGCCUGAUUACGUCCCCUUCCCCCUACAACCUUAUAUAAACCUACAUGUAAAAAUAAAGUCUUGAGGCCUUGACUAGAAACUCAGCUUGCCCUGCUUCCUUGUAUCUGUUUGCCUCUUCCCAUUCAUGUUAAC